rnacentral:rRNA from 1 species
CAGCAGCCGCGGUAAUACGUAGGGUGCAAGCGUUAAUCGGAAUUACUGGGCGUAAAGCGUGCGCAGGCGGUUAUAUAAGUCAGAUGUGAAAUCCCCGGGCUCAACCUGGGAACUGCAUUUGAGACUGUAUGGCUAGAGUGUGUCAGAGGGGGGUAGAAUUCCACGUGUAGCAGUGAAAUGCGUAGAUAUGUGGAGGAAUACCGAUGGCGAAGGCAGCCCCCUGGGAUAACACUGACGCUCAUGCACGAAAGCGUGGGGAGCAAACAGGAUUAGAUACCCCUGUAGUCCCUGUCUCUUAUAA